AUAAAAGUCUACAAUAUCUUAUGGACGUAAUAGCUCCACAUGUUCAUUACAUGGCAACAUUGGAUUUCUGGAAGAAAACAAAUUUACAAGCACAGCAGAUAUCAUAGUGGUAAAGGUGGAACAGAAAGAAAAGCCCUUCUUCUUAGUCUCGGCCUACUUGGCCCAUGACGAAGGCAUACCACCGACCCCGCUCACCAGACUAAUAGAGGAGAACAGAAAAGAAGAUGUCCUAAUAGGGUGUGAUGCAAACGCAAGGCACACCGUAUGGGGUAGCUCCAGCAUAAACACCAGAGAAAUGGACGUAGAAGAAACCCGCAAUAACCCCCCGUCGGUGAGGUCCGCAACAAACCAACCACCCUACACACCCACCAUCAUCAUUUUUCACCACUCAACCGAUCAAAAAGGAUUGUUUAGAUCAGGGUGGAACACAAUUCGUUUUACGCCGGUAAUCUAAACACUUCGCCCUUUUUUUUUGAUCGCCAACUCGUUCCCGUUGAUCCGCCAAUUUACAAGCGUUGAAAAGUUCUGGUCCAAAUUUGGAUUCCCCAUCCUGUCGCGUGUGUGUGUGCAGGACGCAGGAGCAUCAAGAGCAUCAAUAGUGGAUAGUGAACAGUGUAAUAAAAAAAAACCUAAAGAAUUGUAAAUAUUUUGAAAAUCUUGGAAUUUGUAUUGAAAAACUAUUGAAGUUUCGGCCGCAAAGGGAAAUACAUACCUACAGUGACGAGCAAUAUUGUAACACGUUAAAGGCGCUUUUAUUUCAACUAAGUAUAUUUCACCAGUUAGAGUUAAAACUCUAUUUUUUUUGUUUGAAAUGUUGUAUGUGGACAUCAUAUUUUACCUCUACUGUAAAAGUGCUAACAUAAAACAACAAUAAAUUACUGUGAACAGCGAAAUUUAAGAAUAACUAAAAUGUUACAGUUAUGCACGCGUGUCAUGUGAUCUUUUAUUACCGUUAUUUUUUGCAAUUGCGAUAAGCACGCAGGAGUUUUUUAGUUGUUAAGUGAUAAUUGAGUUGUCAAGUAGCAAACGUGACCAUGCAGCCAGAAAAUACGCAGAAAAUUUUAAAAUUAAUAAUGGAGGAGCAAUCUGUGCGUAAAAUAGCAACAGAAUGUAAAGUUAGCCAUAUGACAGUGCACAGGUUAAAACAAAAAUAUUUUAAAACCUCAUCCAAGAAAAAGGGUGGUCGGCCCAGAAAAAUUAACGACCGACAAUGCCGCCAUCUCGCCCAAUUGGUCACUUCGAACAAUGCGGUAACACCCGCGGCAGCUCUUAAAGUGCUAAAUAUCGAAGCAAGUGAGUGGACAGCGCGCCGUUCCUUAAAAAAAAUUGGACUCAAAGCAUCUGAAAAGAAAAAAAAAACCGAUGUUGACAAAAAGACAUGUGCAGCUGCGGCGCGAUUUUGUUGCAAAACAUGAGCAUUGGACUGAAGAAGAUUGGGAUAUGGUAAGUUUAAAACAAAAAAUGUUGAAAUUAUAAAAAUAUUCACUUUAUUUUUUAUUUUAAAGGUAAUAUGGUCUGAUGAAACAAAAAUAAAUCGUUAUUAGUCUGAUGGGCGUUCCUUACUAUACACGGGACCCAAACACGAUUAAACCAAACCAUGUUUCCCAAACUGUAAAACAUGGUGGCGGUUCAAUCAUUGUUUGGGGGUGUAUCACCAAAAACGGUAUAGGUCGUCUGGUACGCAUUAAUGGAAUCAUGCGUAAGGAGCAGUAUCUGACCAUUUUACAACAAAAUUUGGCGAUAGUCAUCGAAAAUUUGGGUCUUGCUGCUGAAAAAGUUAUCUUUCAGCAAGACAAUGACCCGAAGCACACGUCUCGCCUUGUACAAGAUUGGAUAAAACGUCAAAAAUUUUCGACCCUUACAUGGCCCCCUCAAUCACCGGAUAUGAAUCCAAUCGAAAAUUUGUGGAGUCAUGUCAAGGCGCAGCUGGCGAAGUACCCUAAUCCUAAGGGGGUAAAUGAGUUGUGGGAGCGGAAGCAAGAAGUUUGGAAUGCAAUACCCCCCGAUUUUGUAUCGAAAUAUACACAAAGUAUGCCCAACCGGUUGAACGCUUUAAAAAAAGCUAAGGGUUUUUUGACCAAAUAUUAACUUUUUGGUUAUUAUGUUUUAACAUUACAUCGAGUGCAAAACUGUAACAUUGAGCUUUUUUUACUUUAUUACUUUUAAACAUAUU